rnacentral:rRNA from 1 species
GCGAACAGAUAAGGAGCUUGCUCCUUUGACGUUAGCGGCGGACGGGUGAGUAACACGUGGGUAACCUACCUAUAAGACUGGGAUAACUUCGGGAAACCGGAGCUAAUACCGGAUAACAUUUGGAACCGCAUGGUUCUAAAGUGAAAGAUGGUUUUGCUAUCACUUAUAGAUGGACCCGCGCCGUAUUAGCUAGUUGGUAAGGUAACGGCUUACCAAGGCGACGAUACGUAGCCGACCUGAGAGGGUGAUCGGCCACACUGGAACUGAGACACGGUCCAGACUCCUACGGGAGGCAGCAGUAGGGAAUCUUCCGCAAUGGGCGAAAGCCUGACGGAGCAACGCCGCGUGAGUGAUGAAGGGUUUCGGCUCGUAAAACUCUGUUAUUAGGGAAGAACAAACGUGUAAGUAACUGUGCACGUCUUGACGGUACCUAAUCAGAAAGCCACGGCUAACUACGUGCCAGCAGCCGCGGUAAUACGUAGGUGGCAAGCGUUAUCCGGAAUUAUUGGGCGUAAAGCGCGCGUAGGCGGUUUCUUAAGUCUGAUGUGAAAGCCCACGGCUCAACCGUGGAGGGUCAUUGGAAACUGGGAAACUUGAGUGCAGAAGAGGAAAGUGGAAUUCCAUGUGUAGCGGUGAAAUGCGCAGAGAUAUGGAGGAACACCAGUGGCGAAGGCGACUUUCUGGUCUGUAACUGACGCUGAUGUGCGAAAGCGUGGGGAUCAAACAGGAUUAGAUACCCUGGUAGUCCACGCCGUAAACGAUGAGUGCUAAGUGUUAGGGGGUUUCCGCCCCUUAGUGCUGCAGCUAACGCAUUAAGCACUCCGCCUGGGGAGUACGACCGCAAGGUUGAAACUCAAAGGAAUUGACGGGGACCCGCACAAGCGGUGGAGCAUGUGGUUUAAUUCGAAGCAACGCGAAGAACCUUACCAAAUCUUGACAUCCUUUGAAAACUCUAGAGAUAGAGCCUUCCCCUUCGGGGGACAAAGUGACAGGUGGUGCAUGGUUGUCGUCAGCUCGUGUCGUGAGAUGUUGGGUUAAGUCCCGCAACGAGCGCAACCCUUAAGCUUAGUUGCCAUCAUUAAGUUGGGCACUCUAGGUUGACUGCCGGUGACAAACCGGAGGAAGGUGGGGAUGACGUCAAAUCAUCAUGCCCCUUAUGAUUUGGGCUACACACGUGCUACAAUGGACAAUACAAAGGGCAGCUAAACCGCGAGGUCAUGCAAAUCCCAUAAAGUUGUUCUCAGUUCGGAUUGUAGUCUGCAACUCGACUACAUGAAGCUGGAAUCGCUAGUAAUCGUAGAUCAGCAUGCUACGGUGAAUACGUUCCCGGGUCUUGUACACACCGCCCGUCACACCACGAGAGUUUGUAACACCCGAAGCCGGUGGA